rnacentral:rRNA from 1 species
AGUGAACGCUGGCGGUAGGCCUAGCACAUGCAAGUCGAACGGCAGCACAGUAAGAGCUUGCUCUUACGGGUGGCGAGUGGCGGACGGGUGAGGAAUACAUCGGAAUCUACUUUUUCGUGGGGGAUAACGUAGGGAAACUUACGCUAAUACCGCAUACGACCUACGGGUGAAAGCAGGGGAUCUUCGGACCUUGCGCGAUUGAAUGAGCCGAUGUCGGAUUAGCUAGAUGGCGGGGUAAAGGCCCACCAAGGCGACGAUCCGUAGCUGGUCUGAGAGGAUGAUCAGCCACACUGGAACUGAGACACGGUCCAGACUCCUACGGGAGGCAGCAGUGGGGAAUAUUGGACAAAGGGCGCAAGCCUGAUCCAGCCAUACCGCGUGGGUGAAGAAGGCCUUCGGGUUGUAAAGCCCUUUUGUUGGGAAAGAAAAGCAGCAGGUUAAUACCCCGCUGUUCUGACGGUACCCAAAGAAUAAGCACCGGCUAACUUCGUG